UACGUAGGGUGCAAGCGUUGUCCGGAAUUAUUGGGCGUAAAGAGCGCGUAGGCGGUCUGUCGCGUCUGCUGUGAAAACUCAGGGCUUAACCCUGAGCUUGCAGUGGGUACGGGCAGACUAGAGUGCGGUAGGGGAGACUGGAAUUCCUGGUGUAGCGGUGAAAUGCGCAGAUAUCAGGAGGAACACCGGUGGCGAAGGCGGGUCUCUGGGCCGUAACUGACGCUGAGGAGCGAAAGCAUGGGGAGCGAACAGG
rnacentral:rRNA from 1 species